GACACAUCUCUGAAGUGUGGGAGACAGGGAUUUCGCCAACCUCUUCUCAGUGGUUUGUGGGGACAGGACAAGGGGUAAUGGCCACAAAAUAGAGCACAGGAAGUUCCGCACCAACAUGUGAAAGAACUUCAGGGUGAGGAUGAUGGAGCACUGGGACAGG